GAUCAUGGCUCAGGAUGAGCGCUAGCUACAGGCUUAACACAUGCAAGUCGAGGGGCAGCAUUUUUAUAGCAAUAUAAAAGAUGGCGACCGGCGCACGGGUGAGUAACACGUAUCCAACCUGCCGAUAACUCGGGGAUAACCCUUCGAAAGUAAGACUAAUACCCAAUGACAUCCCACGAAGACAUCUGAAUGGGAUUAAAGAUUUAUCGGUGAUGGAUGGGGAUGCGU
rnacentral:rRNA from 1 species